CAGUGGUGCCCUUACGUGGACAAAGAAAUUCAGCCUAGAUUAUUUGGCCCUGGACUUCAAUUCAGCAUCACCAGCCCCCAUGCAGCAGGCCAGAGCCUUUGUGUUCCAGGUCAUCUCCAGUCCAGGGCCGAGGCAAGAGAAGCAGCCCCCAUCUGAAGUGUGCUGGCCUCCUGGCAGAGGAAAAAGAGAGAUUGCAGAAUCACAGAAUACCUCUUUCUCCUUAGGAUUGGAACAUGUCACUUCCUUUUUGUUAUUAUUGUUUUGUUUUCUUGAGUCAAGAUCUCACUCUGUCACUCAGGCUGGAGUGCAGUGGCAUGGUCAUAGCUCACUGCAGCCUCGAUCUCCUGGGCUAAAGUUAUCCUCCCAUCUCAGCCUCCCAAGUAGCUGGUACUACAGUUGCACAUCAUCACCCACGGCUGUUUUUUAUUUUUUAAUAAAAAAUGAUCUUGA
rnacentral:lncRNA from 10 species